AUGGACUCCAGAUUAUAUAGUUCUUGGUGUUUCGGUCUCUUGUGUUCAUGUUACUCUAGCAUUCAGGAUAUUGAUACUGAAAAUUUAUUCAUUAAACAGGGAUAAUCAUUCCUAUAUCAAAUUCCUAUAUUCUUGUGUAUUCUAAAGCCAUUUUUCUCAUUCCCCCAAAACAUUAGAAGAAAAAUAAGAAAAGAAACAGUGUGCGAAGCCCUAAUUCAUCGAAAAUUAUGUAUCUUUAGAUCGAAAAUCAAUAAGUAACUCUUCAAAUGAAGUAUG
rnacentral:misc_RNA from 1 species